AUGGAGUAACUUUAAGAUACAUAAUUUUGUUAUCCCGAAGUAGUAUGAGCUAAAAACCAAAGCCUUUUAGGGCUAGUUUAUUAUAUGUUACACUAUAUAACCCUUAUUGAUUUUUAGGAGUGAUAUACCUUACAAAUACUACGAUAACUGGAUUUACAAGAAACAUAUAUAGUAUGAAGGCAGCCCUACAAUGUUAAGGUUUUAGGGUCUCAUUAUAUUAAUCCACUAAAUCUGUAAUCUGAAUAAAAACAAUUAUUUUGUUAACUCUUAUAUUUAAUAUUUAGUUAUAUGAAUUACAUUGUAUAAUGUAGUUUUAUAAACAAUUACAUUUUUAAUGUUACUAUUAGUAUUAAUAAAAUUCUGAUUAAGGAACUUGGCAAAAAGUUACUCAACUGUUUACCAAAAACAUUGCUUUAUGCUCCUAUAUAAGGUUAACCCUGCUCCAUGGUACGCUAAAUAGCCGCAGUACCUUGACUGUGCAAAGGUAGCAUAAUCAAUUGGCUUAUAAUUGAAGUCUAGUAUGAAAGGGACAAUGUGUAACUACUGUCUUAGUUAUAAAAAUAAAACUUACUAAUUAAGUGAAAAUUCUUAUACACAAAUAAUAGACGAGAAGACCCUAGAAAUUUGUAAUUAUAUUUUGUUGGGGCGACAGGGUAACAGAACGAACUUACCUAUAAUAUAUAACUUUUGUAAACAUAAUAACUAAAUUACUCUAGGGAUAACAGCAUAAUGCUAUAUAGAGUUUGUGACCUCGAUGUUGGACUAAGAAGAAUACAGUUCAAAAGAUUGUAUAUCUAGCUCUGUUCGAGCUAUUUUUCUUACAUGAUCUG
rnacentral:rRNA from 1 species